AUUGAACGCUGGCGGCAGGCCUAACACAUGCAAGUCGAACGGUAACAGGAAGAAGCUUGCUUCUUUGCUGACGAGUGGCGGACGGGUGAGUAAUGUCUGGGAAACUGCCUGAUGGAGGGGGAUAACUACUGGAAACGGUAGCUAAUACCGCAUAACGUCGCAAGACCAAAGAGGGGGACCUUCGGGACUCUUGCCAUCGGAUGUGCCCAGAUGGGAUUAGCUAGUAGGUGGGGUAACGGCUCACCUAGGCGACGAUCCCUAGCUGGUCUGAGAGGAUGACCAGCCACACUGGAACUGAGACACGGUCCAGACUCCUACGGGAGGCAGCAGUGGGGAAUAUUGCACAAUGGGCGCAAGCCUGAUGCAGCCAUGCCGCGUGUAUGAAGAAGGCCUUCGGGUUGUAAAGUACUUUCAGCGGGGAGGAAGGGAGUAAAGUUAAUACCUUUGCUCAUUGACGUUACCCGCAGAAGAAGCACCGGCUAACUCCGUG
rnacentral:rRNA from 1 species